UUUUCCUCUUCCCCGUCACCCACGCCUCCACAUCCCUCCCACUCAUCCAUGUCGGCCUCGCCGCAGAAGAGGGCUAGCGGGCCGCGUCGCCGGUCAAAUUGCGUCUGGAGGCGAGGAGGGGGAGCAGCCACGCCCGGAGGAGGCCGUCCCCGGCGGCAAGGCCUAAUCCCUAGGGUGCCGCUUCGGGAUUGAUUCCCUUCGCUGUGAUGAACCCUUCUCGUCGGCCGCGCCCCAUGCUAGCAGGUGGGUGGAGCCUCGUUAUCAGGUGGGGAUGCUGGCGAACGCGUCGGACAUGAGCCGCUUCAGCGGGAAUCGAUGAUGGCGCAAGGUCCACCGCUUCUUCUGCUGCGGCGCUGCACAACGGGCCACACCAGGAGAUACCCAACGGGACACAGCCAAUAGAAGGUCGUCAGUCAGCAGCUGCUACUGCUCCCGGUAAAGGGUCAAAUCACAGAAAACAAAUCAGUUCCUAGAAUAUUUGAAAGCUGGAUAAGUCAUUUUGGAGGAUGGACAGCCAAGUUCAGUUUCGUUAAGGUCCUCACCUCUUAUACCAAGAGAUCCCAUCACAGUGAGUAUUGAAGAGAAACUUAAAUGUAAUAGUUAGAAGAGAUGAGGUGCUAAUAACUUUGAUGUGCAAGGAACCCUUGCUCCCCGGGUCCUUAAUGAUGCAGAUGGAUUUAAGAUCGAAAACAAAAAUGUAUCUGGACUCACCUUACAACACACCCCAAUAUCCACAACGACUUGUUAACAGCCAGCAAUUGUUGGAGCAAAAGAUCCAAACAGGCCUUCCCCAAGUGGUCAAAAUGAAACACCACUUGUGAAAUGGAGAGUUCAGGGGAUGAAUGAAUCGAAUAAUAUGCUGGAGCCAUUCCAGCUCUUCUAGAGCCACUCGCUGUAUGAGUUGGAGAAGAAGUUCUAUGAGGAACGCCGCCGCCCGGGCUUGGGCAUCCGCCGCGGUGUUGGGUGCCCCGGCAAGGUCUCUAGGGACUACGCAGCGGGCGUGAGCUCUCCCGGCUCCCCUCCCUCGCCGUCCCCUGUUUCUUCUUGCCUGUGCAUUUAUAUGUGACUUCCCUUGGUGGUGCUCAGUUGCCGUCCGGCCGGCCGAGCGUGAUGUGCUGACUCCGCUCCGAUGCGUGGGGACUGGACCAAUGGCGCUUGCUCAAAAACUGCGGUGGCAUCGAUCUAGAAGGACUAACGGCUCGGAGAAGACGGUGACGCUAUAUCUGAAAAUGAAUGUCAUCGCAAAAACUGGACGUGAGUAAUCAUCCCUCCCCUAAUUAAGAGUUAUGCCUUUUCUUUUGCGCUGACUACUAAAAGAACAGAUCUAUCUGUUUCUCCAUAUAUGUGAUGCUUUUAGCAGCAUGUAAGGUGUCCGAGGAAAUGAACACGAGAGAGUAGAAAUAUAGAAUGUGAGUAGCUUAAUUAUAUAUUAUUAUAUUAUGUAUCAGCUAUGUUCGCUCGGAUGAUCCAAGAAUUAUAUCAAGUAUGGUGAUAUAUUAGGAAACUGUGUGACUUGUUUGCUAGAUGACACAUUUUAAAGACUUAAUGUCAUGUGAGCAAGGGAAGCAUUUUGUGAGCAAGAACCCUGUCAGAGAUAGAUGAUUUGUAAUUAUGGCAGCUUUUGUCUUAGCCGUCGACCAUUUUACUUGUAGAGAUAUUUGCUUCUCUCCAUACUCUUUGCUUUCUACAACAUUUUGAUAAUUACACGACCUAACAGCACAUGCUCUUUCCUUUUCUGCCUUCAGCUUAUGCAUUUAGAUUUGUAGGUGGUCUGCUAAAGUAGCUAUCCACCAAUCUCACACAACACACAUAAGCGAUGCUAAGGAUCUGCCAACACUACUCGAGGCUCAUUACUAAACUGUUGGGCUGAUGUCUGAGUGUUUGAAAAAAUCUAUACAUACUACAUGUGUAAUGAAUUAAUCCAGUAAUGCCUUUAGCAACCAUACUUUUUUAUUACAUCUGUUCAUCUUUAAUUUAUCACGUGUUGUUUAUAACAUGACAAGUGCACCUUGAUCCUUACUGAAGAAUAUUUAGCAAAGGCUCUAGCUAUGAGUAACACGAACCGAUUAAAUGCCAUUGUAUGCAAUUUCACUGUCAUACUGAAGAGUUCAGCCUGUUUUCUUUGCAGAUGGCUGGCAUAGAUUUAGUAGGAAGGGAUCACUACUAUGGUGUGUUUCCUCUCAGGGGUAAAUUAUUAAAUGUGAGAGAAGCAAGACAUAAUCGCCUAUUUAUUUCCUCAUGUAUGCUUCUAGGUAGCAAUAAUAAUGAUGACGAUAACAGUGUUUCAGUUCAAGUGCAUUCUGCUUUUGAUUACGCUAUUUCUUACAACAUAUGCUGGUGUGAUAAUAUGCUUGUAUUUUACAAUGUUGCGAUUCGAUUUAAAGAGUUUAUCCUUCAUAAUAAUCUUGCAAGUUUUUAUUUGCCAAAUCAUUGGAAAUGGUAUUUGGUGUUGCAAUUCUGCUCCUAAAAUUAUUUUAGAUAUUUGUUUUUAGACAUGAUUAGCUCCUUACUUUCUUCGAAUGAUAUUGCCAAUUUGUUUAGAGGGAUAAAUUGGUGAGUUUAUAUUUUCUUUGUAGUUGAUUAGUUCUUUCUAUGUUCAUUUGCAUCAACUGAUAAGCCAAAGCUACCUGGUUAGGUACACAAACUUACAGGACAAGGUGUGCCGAGGUGAGCCGCCGCCAAUUCUACUGGCCGCUAGCCCCCACUCUUCUUCCAACCUUAUUGCUUUCUCAUUUUCUUCCUCUCUGAUCGCUCACCCAUUUUCCUCUGUGGUGCUCUCUUGGUUGCAGCAGAAACUUCUCAAUCUUACACGCAGUAUCUACAUGAUAGUUUAUGCAAAUGACACAUGAUUUUGGUAGAAUUAGUGCCAUUUGUUUCAUGCUCGUGCAUUACUAAACUAAGUUACAGUGAGAACCUGGAAGAGUGUAGUUUUCCUUCUGAGCAUUGCAUGCUUGAAGCUUUCCUUUCAUUGUCAAGAUAUGUCAUUGUAUAUUUUUCCUGAUUGUCGAAAAUGCUUUCAUGUGCAGGUUAGUGGUGCGUGGAUUAAGAUUUCAGCCAUGGGUGACUUUGCCUUCAUAGCUGGAUGCUUGUAAAAUUGGUCACAGGAAAGUGUGAUUGCUUGGACAUCAGAGGCAUUGUGACGCCGAGGAUCUUGUAGAGAAUUUAGGAAAGUGAAUUCCAACAUUAUCGAAGCAAAAUUGGUGAAGUUCGAUGAGGAUUGGAGAUGGCGUGCAACCUACUUACACAUAGAUGAUUUCAAGAGAUUGUUCCUUCAAAUGCUGGCAAAGAAGCGGGUAUCACUAUGAUCACCAGGCGAUGAAUAUAUUGGUGGGGAUACAAGUAAUGAACCAUAUUUUUCACCAUUCCCAUAUGGCUAUGGUACUUCAACACCUAUGGAAGAAGAUGAUGAGCAACCAAAUACUUCUAGGUAUUAUCUUUUGGCAUGUUCCAUGAAAAGUCAUCCGCAAAUAUUUGUGCUUUGCAGUCCUAGGCGCGUGCUUGAACUUUGGUGGUGUUCUGUGGAUUCAUGCAUUCAGGUCUUACCUACAGAGAUUUUGUUCUUGUGGUACAUUAAACAAAGAAGUUUUGUGGCAAAGAUGCAGACCGCAAGACCAAACUAAACCUGCCAUGAGUCUCUCAUUUUUUGAAGCUCUCACGGAGAAGUUCGGGCCUCCUUAGCAUGUCAGCUUUAUGUAGGAAAGCUGUAAUCAUUGUAUUAGAAAAGCCUCAAAUGCUCCUCUCACCCUGGUGAAAAAGUUGUGAAUGAUGUUCUAUAGAGAUUUUCAAUUGAAGUGCAUGGUUGUCAAUGAGCUUAAUCCUUUGUAAAUCCAACAAGAUCCUACCGAUGCAGUUC